rnacentral:rRNA from 1 species
ACUUUGAUUAUGGCUCGGGAUGAACGCUAGCGGCAGGCUUAACACAUGCAAGUCGAGGGGUAACAUUGGUGCUUGCAUCAGAUGACGACCGGCGCACGGGUGAGUAACGCGUAUGUAACCUACCUAUCACAGGGGGAUAGCCCGGAGAAAUUCGGAUUAAUACCGCAUAGUUUUGAGAUAUUGCAUGAUAUUUCAAAUAAAACUUUGGUGGUGAUAGAUGGACAUGCGUAUGAUUAGUUAGUUGGUGAGGUAACGGCUCACCAAGGCGACGAUCAUUAGGGGUUCUGAGAGGAAGGUCCCCCACACUGGUACUGAGACACGGGACCAGACUCCUACGGGAGGCAGCAGUGAGGAAAUAUUGGUCAAUGGACGAAAGUCUGAACCAGCCAUGCCGCGUGCAGGAUGACUGCCCUAUGGGUUGUAAACUGCUUUUCUGAAGGAAGAAAUGUACCUACGUGUAGGUAUUUGCCGGUACUUCAGGAAUAAGGAUCGGCUAACUCCGUGCCAGCAGCCGCGGUA